UACGUAGGGUGCGAGCGUUGCCCGGAUUUAUUGGGCGUAAAGAGCUCGUAGGCGGCUUGUUGCGUCGACUGUGAAAACCCGCGGCUUAACUGCGGGCUUGCGGUUGAUACGGGCGGGCUAGAGUUCGGUAGGGGGAGACUGGAAUUCCUGGUGUAGCGGUGAAAUGCGUAGAUAUCUGGAGGAAUACCGGUGGCGAAGGCGGCAUCCUGGACCAUUACUGACGCUGAGGCGCGAAAGCUAGGGGAGCAAACGGG
rnacentral:rRNA from 1 species